rnacentral:rRNA from 1 species
UGGCCUAGCACACGACCCUACGCUGGGGCGUUUAGCGUAUUAACAGGUGUGACGCAGGAAGGUAGCUGAGCCGGGCGAUGGUUGUCCCGGUCUAAGGAUGUAGGGCAGAAGAUAGGCAAAUCCGUCUUCUAUGUAGCCUGAGACCCGAUGGGUAGUCCUCACGGACGAAAUCAGUGAUCCUAUGCUGCCGAGAAAAGCAUCGACGCGAGGUUCCAAUCGCCCGUACCCCAAACCGACUCAGGUGGUCAGGUAGAGAAUACUAAGGAGAUCGAGAGAAUCGUGGUUAAGGAACUCGGCAAAAUGCCCCCGUAACUUCGGGAGAAGGGGGGCCUGAGGCGUGUAGGGAUUUACUCCUGAAGCGUUUGAAGGCCGCAGAGACCAGUGGGAAGCGACUGUUUACUAAAAACACAGGUCCGUGCUAAGUCGCAAGACGAUGUAUACGGACUGACGCCUGCCCGGUGCUGGAAGGUUAAGAGGAACGGUUAGCACGCAAGUGCGAAGCUGAGAAUUUAAGCCCCAGUAAACGGCGGUGGUAACUAUAACCAUCCUAAGGUAGCGAAAUUCCUUGUCGGGUAAGUUCCGACCUGCACGAAUGGCGUAACGACUUCCCAGCUGUCUCAACCGCGAACUCGGCGAAAUUGCACUACGAGUAAAGAUGCUCGUUACGCGCAGCAGGACGGAAAGACCCCGUGACCUUUACUACAGCUUGGUAUUGGUGUUCGGUGUGGCUUGUGUAGGAUAGGUGGGAGACUGUGAAGCUCGGACGCUAGUUCGGGUGGAGUCAUUGUUGAAAUACCACUCUGGUCACUCUGGAUAUCUAACUUCGAACCGUAAUCCGGUUCAGGGACAGUGCCUGGUGGGUAGUUUAACUGGGGCGGUUGCCUCCUAAAGAGUAACGGAGGCGCCCAAAGGUUCCCUCAACCUGGUUGGUAAUCAGGUGUCGAGUGUAAGUGCACAAGGGAGCUUGACUGUGAGACUGACAAGUCGAGCAGGGACGAAAGUCGGGACUAGUGAUCCGGCAGUGGCUUGUGGAAGCGCUGUCGCUCAACGGAUAAAAGGUACCUCGGGGAUAACAGGCUGAUCUUGCCCAAGAGUCCAUAUCGACGGCAUGGUUUGGCACCUCGAUGUCGGCUCGUCGCAUCCUGGGGCUGGAGUAGGUCCCAAGGGUUGGGCUGUUCGCCCAUUAAAGCGGUACGCGAGCUGGGUUUAGAACGUCGUGAGACAGUUCGGUCCCUAUCCGCUG